rnacentral:lncRNA from 1 species
GUCAAUAGUGUGCAAUUUCCAUCCUCUUAAAGCAAGAGGCCUCUGGCUCCCAGCCUUGGAGGGCAUUCCUGAUGAUAUGCUUUACAUUAGGGUCAAUGAUGAUGUGGCAAAAGGUUCCAUUUUAAGAAUUCUAUUGAACACUGAUGAUCAUAAAGGGAUCCAGUAUGCUCUCCCCUGCUGUCGAAGUGUCUAAAGAUGAAACCAUCCUUAGAUUACACUCAUCAGGAAGCCUCAAGAGAUGCUCCCAACACUUUGGUAAAGAUUCUCAGCGGGCACUGUGGCUCAUACGUGUAAUCCCAGCACUGUGAGAGAUUGAGGUGGGCAGAUCACCUGAGGUUGGGAGUUUGAGACCAGCCUGACCAACAUGGAGAAAACCCCAUCUCUAUUAAAGAUACAAAAUUAGCCAGGCGUGGUGGCACAUACCUGUAAUCCCAGCUACUCAGGAAGCUGAGGCAGAAGAAUGUGUUGAACCUGGAAGGCAGAGGUUGCGGUGAGCCGAGAUCACACCAUUGCACUCCACCCUGGGCAACAAGAGUAAAGGGUGAAAAAAAAAAAAGAUUCUCAGUG